rnacentral:rRNA from 1 species
CCUGCGGAAGGAUCAUUAGUGAAUAUAGGACGUCCAACUUAACUUGGAGUCCGAACUCUCACUUUCUAACCCUGUGCACUUGUUUGGGAUAGUAACUCUCGCAAGAGAGCGAACUCCUAUUCACUUAUAAACACAAAGUCUAUGAAUGUAUUAAAUUUUAUAACAAAAUAAAACUUUCAACAACGGAUCUCUUGGCUCUCGCAUCGAUGAAGAACGCAGCGAAAUGCGAUAAGUAAUGUGAAUUGCAGAAUUCAGUGAAUCAUCGAAUCUUUGAACGCACCUUGCGCUCCAUGGUAUUCCGUGGAGCAUGCCUGUUUGAGUGUCAUGAAUACUUCAACCCUCCUCUUUCUUAAUGAUUGAAGAGGUGUUUGGUUUCUGAGCGCUGCUGGCCUUUACGGUCUAGCUCGUUCGUAAUGCAUUAGCAUCCGCAAUCGAACUUCGGAUUGACUUGGCGUAAUAGACUAUUCGCUGAGGAAUUCUAGUCUUCGGACUAGAGCCGGGUUGGGUUAAAGGAAGCUUCUAAUCAGAAUGUCUACAUUUUAAGAUUAGAUCUCAAAUCAGGUAGGACUACCCGCUGAACUUAAGCAUAUCAUAACCCCGAAAGAAAAGAAUCAUUAGUGGAAUAUGGGAAGUCCAACUUAACUUGGAGUCCGAACUCUCACUUUCUAACCCUGUGCACUUGUUUGGGGAUAGUAACUCUCGCAGGAGAGCGAACUCCUAUUCACUUAU